rnacentral:lncRNA from 1 species
CUUAUAGCCUUUCCUUUCUCUACACAGGCUCCUAAUGGACCUUUCCUGCCAGUAGACCCAAGACCGAAGAGGAGGAGGUGGUAGCGGAGGUGUAGGGGAGGGGGUGGCAGAAGGGAGGCUGUUCCUCAGACGGCGCAGAGCGCUCUCUUCUCGUCUCCCCUCAUCAUUGGUAUGCAGUGACUGUUCCCCAGGCGACAGGGCCACUGGGUUGGGGCUAAACUGACUGCAGGAGAGUCAGGUCUACAAAGUAAAUGAGAGGAGAGCAAGACAGCAGGUAAGGGUAAUGAGAACAGGCAGAGAGAGGGAGGGAGGAGGACAAGAG